rnacentral:rRNA from 1 species
CCCCUAGAUGUUCUGGGCCGCACGCGCGCUACACUGAACAGUUCAACAAGUCUUAACCUUGGCCGAUAGGUCUGGGUAAUCUUUGAACGCUGUUCGUGAUUGGGAUAGACCUUUGCAAUUAUGGGUCUUCAACGAGGAAUUCCUAGUAAACGCAAGUCAUCAGCUUGCAUUGAUUACGUCCCUGCCCUUUGUACACACCGCCCGUCGCACCUACCGAUUGAAUGGUCCGGUGAAGCGCUCGGACCGCGGCCUCUUGACGGGUCUCCGUCGAUUGGCUGUGGGAAGUUCGUUAAACCUUAUCAUUUAGAGGAAGGAGAAGUCGUAACA